rnacentral:lncRNA from 10 species
UGGGUUAUAUAACUCAGAACAGGCUGCCAGCUGUGUUUCCUCAGCUGCAGUGCAAGUGGGGCAUGCUCCGUUGAGACUUUAUUCACUCUGGGCAGUUUGUUGAAGAUUAGGUGGUCAGCUCACAAUGAAUCAUAAGCUGCUUUUGUCCCUUGCUGUCUAUGCUUAGAAGCUAAAAGGUUAAGCAGCGAUGUCAGCGCUAUCAGGGAGCUGUGGAGACUGGAAUUGAAGUUCAGAACCUUUCAUGGGAGACAGCUCAGCAAAGGAUUUCCUAUGUGAGUUCCUGAUCCCCUUCUGUUCUGACCUGGUAGUCACACCUGUCAACAAGGUCCGCAAGUUCUGGCCUUUGGAUUCUGGCAGAACAUCAAAACUGGAUCACACCAUCCUCCCUUGUACAUGAAGAAACCUGGAAGCAGAGAAGCCAUCCACUCUCCCCAUGUCAGU